GGGCGGUGCCGGGGCGGGGCGGGGCGUCGGGCUUGGUGCCCGCCUUGCUUCGCAGCCAUCGAAACCUCGGCGGAGCUGGCGCGCGCCGGGGACGGGCGAGGGGCGCCGCCAAGCAGCGAUGCCGACCACGGGCGCCAGGGCAGAAGCCGGGCCCCGGGUCUCAGCCCCGGGUCUUGGCCGGGAAGGGUCUGCGGAGGGCGUUCCGGGGGGCGGGGCCAGGGUGCAGCUAGCCCGCGCCCUGCAGGGGGCGAUCCAGGCACGGCGUAGACCCGUCCUCGCGGGUCCGGAAGGGGAAGAAGCGAGGCCAGGGGUCCGGCGGCCCGGCGAGCGGACGUGCGCGCGCGCCUGCGCGCCUGCGCGCUCUGCGGGCCGCGGUCCCGCGGCUAUUGGGUCACCAGCGUUACCCCGGCAGCUCCCCCACUUGACCAGGCACCCGGAUCUUCCUACGCCAGGCCCCGCGGGUCGUGCCAUUUGAUCUAGAUGUUUGAGGUCUGUCUGUGGGCUGGGAGGCCCUAGUUAACGUUCUCACCUUGCUCUCUCAUUGUGGCCAAGUGAUUCCUGUGCUAUCUGGGAUGACUUAGCUACCCUGCACUGUGGUGCCAUCAAGUCAUUAUAAUGUCCUUGGCCCUACGACAGCAGAGGCCUCUCAAUGUCUAGAACUCUAAAAUCAGGGCCUACCAGACAUGGAAUGAAUAAAGAAGAUGUGGUACAGAUAUAUAGUGGAAUAUUACUC
ensembl:lncRNA